GGAGUUAGGAAAUGUAGAUACGCUAAUAUCGUAUCUAUUUGACAAAGGCUCCAAAGGAAGUCACGGCUAACUCUGUGCCAGCAGCCGCGGUAAUACAGAGGUGGCAAGCGUUGUUCGGAAUUAUUGGGCGUAAAGAGCACGUAGGUGGAUUUGUAAGUCAGAUGUGAAAGCCUUCUGUUCAACGGGAGAAUUGCAUCUGAAACUACAGACCUUGAGUAUAGGAGGGGAGAGUGGAACUUCUGGU
rnacentral:rRNA from 1 species